GACAGAGGGUGCAAGCGUUGUUCGGAAUUACUGGGCAUAAAGCGCACGUAGGCGGUUCGCUAAGUCUGUCGUGAAAUCCCCCGGCUCAACCGGGGAAUAGCGUCGGAUACUGGCGAGCUCGAGGUCGAUAGGGGUAAGUGGAACUCCAGGUGGAGCGGUGAAAUGCGUAGAUAUCAUUUGGAACGCCAAUGGUGAAAGCAGCUUGCUGGGGGUUUGCUGACGCUGAGACACGAAAGCCAGGGGAGCGAACGGG
rnacentral:rRNA from 1 species